rnacentral:rRNA from 1 species
GACGUAGGGCGCGAGCGUUGUCCGGAUUUAUUGGGCGUAAAGAGCUCGUAGGCGGCUUGUCGCGUCGUCCGUGAAAACCUGCGGCUCAACUGCAGGCUGGCGGUCGAUACGGGCAGGCUGGAGUUCGGUAGGGGAGACUGGAAUUCCUGGUGUAGCGGUGAAAUGCGCAGAUAUCAGGAGGAACACCGGUGGCGAAGGCGGAUCUCUGGGGCCGAUACUGACGCUGAGGAGCGAAAAGCGUGGGGGAGCGAACAGG